CGCCCUGGAACCGAGCCCGCAGCCUGGCAGGUGCCGGUGACGGAAUAGAACCCAGCACCCCCCAGACCGCAGGCCAACGCUCUAUCCACUGAGCACACCGGCCAGGGCUCCUGAGGCACCUUCUCCGCACAGGUGGUCUCUCCCCCACAGACCUUCAAGCACAGCGUCCCUGAGCAGCCCUGGGUUCCCGCCGCUUCUUUCUCAGGCAGUUCCUUCCGGCCCCACCUGCCCCAGCCCGUCUGCAAGGGGUUAACCGCGGUAGUUCCGACCGAGUCAGCCCAAGGCGCGCCUCUGUGACACGCGGGUUGUUCUGAGUUAGAGGCAACCAAGACUGCAGGCUCAGGAGAACACCACCACCACUCUCAGCCACAGGGAGGAGUUUGAAGUAGGGGGCCUCCCACAGGAAGAGGUUAUCAGCGACAACCCUUUUCACCCAUCCACGGGGCAAGGCAACUGCUAAUUUCCCAGACAUCCAUUAUCGCCCUGCAGUGGCCCGUGGAAGUCCCCAAGCUGUCUUACCUUCCCCCGCUCGAGGUGUCUAUACACCACACUUCCACUUUCUGAACCUCUCAUGUAUGUGGGGGUCUCUGACUCUCUCAUGUAUAUGGGUUUCCCAUACAUAAGUAAUUAAUUGGUCAUUUUCUCCCCCUAA